GCAUAGCCCCGAUUGCAGUGGAAAUCCUUUUCAAGCGCUUUGCAAAAGCGUUUGAAAAGAUUGAAACAAAAAGCGGGAAACAGC
rnacentral:sRNA from 1 species